AACGAACGCUGGCGGCAGGCCUAACACAUGCAAGUCGAACGCCCUAGCAAUAGGGAGUGGCAGACGGGUGAGUAACACGUGGGAACCUUCCCUAUAGUAUGGAAUAGCCCAGGGAAACUUGGAGUAAUACCGUAUACGCCCGAGAGGGGAAAGAUUUAUCGCUAUAGGAUGGGCCCGCGUAGGAUUAGCUAGUUGGUGAGGUAAUGGCUCACCAAGGCGACGAUCCUUAGCUGGUCUGAGAGGACGACCAGCCACACUGGGACUGAGACACGGCCCAGACUCCUACGGGAGGCAGCAGUGGGGAAUAUUGGACAAUGGGCGCAAGCCUGGUCCAGCCAUGCCGCGUGAGUGAUGAAGGCCUUAGGGUUGUAAAGCUCUUUUGCCGGGGACGAUAAUGACGGUACCCGGAGAAUAAGUCCCGGCUAACUUCGUG
rnacentral:rRNA from 1 species